CAGCACCUCAAGUGGUCAGGAUGAUUAUUGGGCCUAAAGCAUCCGUAGCCGGCUCUGUAAGUUUUCGGUUAAAUCUGUAUGCUCAACAUACAGGCUGCCGGGAAUACUGCAGAGCUAGGGAGUGGGAGAGGUAGACGGUACUCGGUAGGAAGGGGUAAAAUCCUUUGAUCUAUUGAUGACCACCUGUGGCGAAGGCGGUCUACCAGAACACGUCCGACGGUGAGGGAUGAAAGCCAGGGGAGCAAUCCGGAUUAGAUACCCGAGUAGUCA
rnacentral:rRNA from 1 species